rnacentral:rRNA from 1 species
AUUGAACGCUGGCGGCAGGCCUAACACAUGCAAGUCGAGCGAGCGGCGGACGGGUGAGUAAUAUAUGGGGACCUGCCCGAUGGCGGGGGAUAACUACUGGAAACGGUAGCUAAUACCGCAUACCAUCGGAUGAACCCAUAUGGGAUUAGCUUGUAGGUGGGGUAACGGCUCACCUAGGCGACGAUCCCUAGCUGGUCUGAGAGGAUGCUCAGCCACCCUGGUAGUGGACCAGGGCCCCGACGCCUACGGGAGGAAGCAGUGGGGAAUAGUGCACAAUGGGCGCAAGCCUGAUGCAGCCAUGCCGCGUGUAUGACGAAGGCCUUCGGGUUGUAAAGUACUUUCAGUCGGGAGGCGGUACCGACAGAAGAAGCACCGGCUAACUCCGUGCCAGCAGCCGCGGUAAUUC